AUUCCUGGAUGUUGUUGCUCGGUGGCCAGGUUCCACCCAUGAUUCUGCAAUAUUUGAAAAUUCCCGGUUGAAGGACUACCUUGAUAACCAUGAUGGGAUGAUACUUCUUGGGGACAGCGGGUAUGCUCUCAAGAGGUAUCUGCUUACACCCAUCCCCGCCCCCCGUAAUGAGCAAGAACACCUGUAUAAUAGACGGCAUAGGCAAGGUCGAUUGUGCAUAGAGAGAACCUUUGGUCUACUCAAGUCAAGAUUCAGAUGCCUUCACAAGACUGGUGGUGUGUUACCAUUCAAGCCACAAAAAUGUGCAAGCGUAUUCAUGGCAUGUUGUCGCUUGCACAACCUGUGCUUGCAGAACGGUCUUCCAGAUCCACCAGAACUUGAUUUGGAGGAGGAUCAUGAUCAGGAAGUGGACGCACCUGACAACAACCUUGGUGGUCAGGCUGUGCGCAAUCAAUUUGUAGAAAUACGUUGAUUGAUUGGAUAUGAUGGUUCACAUGUGAGAGAUAUCCAGGCAUAGGUCACUUACAGCUUGCUGUAUGGCAUGAAUAUCUCUCACAUAUGGACCAUGUAUAUAUAAUAUAUGUGUUAUUCUGUACAUUUUGUUUCUGAAGCCACAUUUUAUGUGUGCAUUGAUUUUAGACGGUGGUUCAUAUGUGAGAGAGAUCCAUGCAUAGGUCACUUACAGCUUGCUGUAUGGCAUGGAUAUUUGUCACAUAUGAACCAUUUCUCAUUUGUAAAUAUUUGCCAUUUUUGUGUUUGUUUUAAGCUCACCUGAGCACAACGUGCUCAUGGUGAGCUUUUGUGAUCGCCUUUUGUCCGUUGUGUGUGGUGCGUCGUCAACAUUUGCCUUGUGAACACUCUAGAGGCCACAUUUAUUGUCUGAUCCUCAUGAAAUUUGGUCAGAACAUUUGUCCCAUUGAUACCUCGACUGAGUUCGAAACUGGGUCGUACUGGGUCAAAAACUAGGUCACUAGGUCAAAAAAAAGAAAAACCUUGUGAACACUGUAGAAGUCACAUUUGAUGCCCAAUCUUCAUGUAACUUUGUCAACAAAUUAAAUCAUGCAUUAUUUUUGCAAGUUAGACAUCAUAGUACCUGUUUUUAUACACCCAUUUUCAAAAAGGGGCGUAUAACAGUUUCACCCUUUAAUUAAAUAGUUUUCAUCCGCUCUUCACCAAACUUGGUCACAAGUUGUAUCUAGACAAUAUCUAGGUCAAGUUUGAAUACGGGUCAUCCCGGGUCAAAAACUAGGUCAUGGGGUCAUCAUCAUCAUUAUUGUCAUGGGGUCAUUUAGUGCAUUUCAAGGAUUUAGCAUGGUGUCAGCUCUCUAAGUAGUUUUCAUCAUAUCUUCACUAAAUUCGGUCAGAAGUUGUAUCUAGACUAUAUUUAGGUCUUGUUCGAAUAUGGGUCAUACCGGGUCAAAAACUAGGUCAUGGGGUCACUUAGUGCAUUUCAAGGAUUUAGCAUGGUGUCCGCUCUCUUAUUUAAGUAUUUUUUAUCCAAUCUUCACUAAAUUUGGUCAAAAGUUGUAUCGAGACCAUAUCUAGGUCAUGUUCGAAUAUGGGUCAUGCCGGGUCAAAAACUAGGUCACAGGGUCACUUAGUGCAUUUCAAGGAUUAAGCAUGGUGUCAACUGAUCUUCACCAAAUUUAGUCAAAAGUUGUGUCUAAAUGUUAUGUAGGUCAAGUGCAAAUAUGGGUCAUGCCGGGUUAGAAACUAGGUCACUACGUUACUAAGUGCAUUGCUAGCAUUUAGCAUGGUUUUCCAAGACCUAUAAACGGGCGUUUCUUGUGACAGUUUGGCACUCUUGUUUAAAAUGAAGCUGUGUUGUUUUUAGUGAAUAAAAAAUAAAUUAUUGUAUGAAAUACAAGAUUUUGACAAAAACAACAACAACAGCUUUUGUUCUUAUUUACACUGCAAACAAUUAUUCAAACAUAUGAACCGCUGUAUUAUCCCGCAGUCUACAUAAGAAAUGAGGUGGACAAAAGAAGUGUUACUUCUUACAUGCAAAUGUACCACUAUACAUUGUACUUCCAAUUUAGGAUUAAUCAUGGGAUCCUAGACAUGAAACUGGUUAUAAAUGAACUGUCAAAUUUGGGGGAGCAUACAAAUAAUCUUUGGCCAGUGAAUAAUGGGAGGGGGUAAUUCUCAUGCAUUGAACAUAAAACAGCUCAAUUCAAGUAAUAUUUAUUAAUCAAGUCGGGUAUUUAAACAUUUUAACACAAGCUCUGAAAGCUUUUUAAGCCGACUUAUAAACUAAACAUGUACAUAAUAACACAAUAGCACAUACAGUUACAUAAACUAAUACACAUUAAAAACAUACAGUAAUAUAACUAAAGACACAUUAUUAAAGCACAU